UGGGCCUACGGGAGGCAGCAGUCGGGAAUAUUGCGCAAUGGAGGAAACUCUGACGCAGUGACGCCGCGUAUAGGAAGAAGGUUUUCGGAUUGUAAACUAUUGUCGUUAGGGAAGAUAAAAGACUGUACCUAAGGAGGAAGCCCCGGCUAACUACGUGCCAGCAGCCGCGGUAAUACGUAGGGAGCAAGCGUUAUCCGGAUUUAUUGGGUGUAAAGGGUGCGUAGACGGGAAGGCAAGUUAGUUGUGAAAUCCCUCGGCUUAACUGAGGAACUGCAACUAAAACUACAUUUCUUGAGUGCUGGAGG
rnacentral:rRNA from 1 species